AACUGGAGAUUGCCUUAGUGCGCUAGAGUCCUUGAAGAAUAACUGCUGACCUUAUUCACUGGCUGUAGACUUUCUGGCACAGUCAGUCACCAGGUUAGUGGCAUAU